AAUCAACGCUGGCGGCGUGCCUCAGACAUGCAAGUCGAACGAUUAAAGCUCUCUUCGGAGAGUGCAUAGAGUGGCGCACGGGUGAGUAACACGUAAGUAAUCUACCCUCGGGUGGGGAAUAACGUCCGGAAACGGACGCUAAUACCGCAUAAUGCAGCGGCACCGCAAGGUGACAGUUGUCAAAGGAGUAAUCCGCCUGGGGAGGAGCUUGCGGCAGAUUAGCUAGUUGGUAAGGUAAUGGCUUACCAAGGCUACGAUCUGUAACCGGUCUAAGAGGACGGUCGGUCACACUGACACUGAAUAACGGGUCAGACUCCUACGGGAGGCAGCAGUCGGGAAUUUUGGGCAAUGGGCGAAAGCCUGACCCAGCAACGCCGCGUGAAGGAUGAAGUAUUUCGGUAUGUAAACUUCGAAAGAAUAGGAAGAAUUAAUGACGGUACUAUUUAUAAGGUCCGGCUAACUACGUGCCAGCCGCCGCCGUAACAC
rnacentral:rRNA from 1 species